rnacentral:rRNA from 1 species
CACUGCUAUCGGGGUUCGACUAAGCCAUGCAAGUCGAGAGGGGUCAAGCCCUCGGCGAACUGCUCAGUAACACGUGGAUAACCUGACCUAGGGUGGAGGAUAACCCCGGGAAACUGGGGAUAAUACUCCAUAGGCUACGGAAGCUGGAAUGCUCUGUAACCGAAAGUUCCGGCGCCCUAGGAUGGGUCUGCGGCCGAUUAGGUUGUUGUUGGGGUAACGGCCCAACAAGCCGAUCAUCGGUACGGGUUGUGGGAGCAAGAGCCCGGAGAUGGAUUCUGAGACAUGAAUCCAGGCCCUACGGGGCGCAGCAGGCGCGAAAACUUUACAAUGCGGGAAACCGUGAUAAGGGGACCCCGAGUGCCUGUACACGCAGGCUGUUCAGGUGUUUAAAACGCAUCUGGAGAAAGGGCCGGGCAAGACCGGUGCCAGCCGCCGCGGUAAUACCGGCGGCUCGAGUGGUGGCCACUAUUACUGGGCUUAAAGCGUCCGUAGCCGGGUUGUU